CUCAAAGGAAUUGACGGGGACCCGCACAAGCGGUGGAUGAUGUGGUUUAAUUCGAUGCAACGCGAAAAACCUUACCUACCCUUGACAUGCCGGGAAUCCUGCAGAGAUGUGGGAGUGCUCGCAAGAGAGCCUGGACACAGGUGCUGCAUGGCUGUCGUCAGCUCGUGUCGUGAGAUGUUGGGUUAAGUCCCGCAACGAGCGCAACCCUUGCCAUUAGUUGCUACGAAAGGGCACUCUAAUGGGACUGCCGGUGACAAACCGGAGGAAGGUGGGGAUGACGUCAAGUCCUCAUGGCCCUUAUGGGUAGGGCUACACACGUCAUACAAUGGCCGGUACAGAGGGCUGCCAACCCGCGAGGGGGAGCCAAUCCCGUAAAACCGGUCGUAGUCCGGAUUGCAGUCUGCAACUCGACUGCAUGAAGUCGGAAUCGCUAGUAAUCGCGGAUCAGCAUGUCGCGGUGAAUACGUUCCCGGGUCUUGUACACACCGCCCGUCACACCAUGGGAGCGGGUUCUGCCA
rnacentral:rRNA from 1 species